GGAAAGGUGGCAGAGUGGUCGAAUGCGCCGGACUCGAAAUCCGGUGUACGGUUUCUACCGUACCGAGGGUUCGAAUCCCUCCCUUUCCGCCA
rnacentral:tRNA from 1 species